AUACUCUGGUUUCUCUUCAUAUCACAUAAAUCUCUCGCCUUUUACUAAAGAUUUCCGUAGAGAGGAACAAUUCUGAGUUUUAUCUCAAUUUUUGAGGCCCUGACUCAGAAAAAAUGGAGUCU
ensembl:snRNA U5 U5 spliceosomal RNA